rnacentral:rRNA from 1 species
CCUACGGGUGGCUGCAGUGGGGAAUAUUGGUCAAUGGGCGAAAGCCUGAUCCAGCCAUGCCGCGUGUGUGAAGAAGGCCUUCGGGUUGUAAAGCACUUUCAGUGGGGAAGAAAGCCUUGGGGCUAAUACCCUCGAGGAAGGACAUCACCCACAGAAGAAGCACCGGCUAACUCCGUGCCAGCAGCCGCGGUAAUACGGAGGGUGCGAGCGUUAAUCGGAAUUACUGGGCGUAAAGCGCGCGUAGGCGGUCUGAUAAGCCGGUUGUGAAAGCCCCGGGCUCAACCUGGGAACGGCAUCCGGAACUGUCAGGCUAGAGUGCAGGAGAGGAAGGUAGAAUUCCCGGUGUAGCGGUGAAAUGCGUAGAGAUCGGGAGGAAUACCAGUGGCGAAGGCGGCCUUCUGGACUGACACUGACGCUGAGGUGCGAAAGCGUGGGUAGCAAACAGGAUUAGAUACCCCGGUAGUC